rfam:Aedes albopictus isolate Foshan contig12034, whole genome shotgun sequence.
UGUUGUGUGGUUAAAUUGGUUAAGGCACCGGACUUGCGAUACGAAGUCGUGGGUUCGAAUCCCACCAAAACAA